CCUACGGGGGGCAGCAGUGAGGAAUAUUGGUCAAUGGACGAGAGUCUGAACCAGCCAAGUAGCGUGAAGGAUGACUGCCCUAUGGGUUGUAAACUUCUUUUAUAUGGGAAUAAAACGUUCCACGUGUGGGAUUUUGUAUGUACCAUAUGAAUAAGGAUCGGCUAACUCCGUGCCAGCAGCCGCGGUAAUACGGAGGAUCCGAGCGUUAUCCGGAUUUAUUGGGUUUAAAGGGAGCGUAGGUGGAAUGUUAAGUCAGUUGUGAAAGUUUGCGGCUCAACCGUAAAAUUGCAGUUGAAACUGGCAGUCUUGAGUACAGUAGAGGUGGGCGGAAUGCGUGGUGUAGCGGUGAAAUGCUUAGAUAUCACGAAGAACUCCGAUUGCGAAGGCAGUUCACUGGACUGCAACUGACACUGAGGCUCGAAAGUGUGGGUAUCAAACAGGAUUAGAUACCCUUGUAGUC
rnacentral:rRNA from 1 species